CCACUUGGGAUACUUAGUACGGCGAGUGAGCGGUAAAAGCUCAAAUUUGAAAUCUGGUACUUUCAGUGCCCGAGUUGUAAUUUGUAGAAUUUGUCUUUGAUUAGGUCCUUGUCUAUGUUCCUUGGAACAGGACGUCAUAGAGGGUGAGAAUCCCGUUUGGCGAGGAUACCUUUUCUCUGUAAGACUUUUUCGAAGAGUCGAGUUGUUUGGGAAUGCAGCUCAAAGUGGGUGGUAAAUUCCAUCUAAAGCUAAAUAUUGGCGAGAGACCGAUAGCGAACAAGUACAGUGAUGGAAAGAUGAAAAGAACUUUGAAAAGAGAGUGAAAAAGUACGUGAAAUUGUUGAAAGGGAAGGGCAUUUGAUCAGACAUGGUGUUUUUUGCAUGCACUCGCCUCUCGUGGGCUUGGGCCUCUCAAAAAUUUCACUGGGCCAACAUCAAUUCUGGCAGCAGGAUAAAUCAUUAAGAAUGUAGCUACUUCGGUAGUGUUAUAGCUUUUUGGAAUACUGUUAGCCGGGAUUGAGGACUGCGCUUCGGCAAGGAUGUUGGCAUAAUGGUUAAAUGCCGCCCGUCUUGAAACAACGGACCA
rnacentral:rRNA from 1 species